rnacentral:rRNA from 1 species
GACGAACGCUGGCGGCGUGCUUAACACAUGCAAGUCGAACGGUAAGGCCCUUCGGGGUACACGAGUGGCGAACGGGUGAGUAACACGUGGGUGAUCUGCCCUGCACUUCGGGAUAAGCCUGGGAAACUGGGUCUAAUACCGGAUAGGACUCCGGACUGCAUGGUCUGGGGUGGAAAGCUUUUGCGGUGUGGGAUGGGCCCGCGGCCUAUCAGCUUGUUGGUGGGGUGAUGGCCUACCAAGGCGACGACGGGUAGCCGGCGUGAGAGGGUGAACGGCCACACUGGGACUGAGAUACGGCCCAGACUGCUACGGGAGGCAGCAGUGGGGAAUAUUGCACAAUGGGCGCAAGCCUGAUGCAGCGACGCCGCGUGAGGGAUGACGGCCUUCGGGUUGUAAACCUCUUUCAGCAUCGACGAAGCGAAAGUGACGGUAGGUGCAGAAGAAGGACCGGCCAACUACGUGCCAGCCGCCGCAGUAA